GUGACCAUAGAUUCAGGGAGAAGAGAAACAGCCAUGGUCCAGGAAGCAUCUCUCUGGGUGAAAUUUCUAGAAGAGAACGAUGUACUCAGCCUUUAAGACAUUACUAUCUUCGAUGGGCCGGCAGGUCUCCUGCAGCUCUGACCAUUGUUCCACCCAGUCGAUACGGAUGUGGCCCUCUUGUUGAGCCACUUGCUGUCUACAUGCUUCAUGGGGACACACAUCUUGUCCUGUAACCCCAUGCCCUCAGAAACCCAGCGAUGCAUCUCAUAUCAUCUUUUGCUCCUCACCCUCAAGGGGUCAAGUUGCUGGGAAACAGACCCUCAGAGAUGAGGCUUCCAGUGACACUUCUGACAGACACUAAAGGGGCCAAAGGGCCCAGUAGCAGGUUCAGACACCUAGAAGACCACAGGCUCAAGGGUGAACAUAAAGCUGGCCUUCUGAAAGAACAGAUCUCAUCAGACAAUCUAGUUUCUCUUUGCCCUGGAGCUGGGGGACUGGUUGAAGCAGCCUGCUGGAUGAGGGUUAAAUUGGGCCAGGCAGGACAGCUCUUCAGCCACUCAAUAAACAUUGAGUACAUGGUGUUGACUGCUGGGAAUGAAAGAAAGCCGCCACCCUGGAUGCUCCCCAUGUUGCAAGGAAGAUGCCGUGAAUCCGUUAUGGCAAGCUGUACAGUGUAAACUGUGACUGGGGUCAGGCUCUGUGUGCAGUGAACGGAAGACGCCCAACUUCAUGAUGGACAGCCAAUAGUAAACAAUUCAUUUCCCUAAUUACCAAGCUUUAAUUAAUCGCUGGCAACGGUCCAGCCCCAAGACAAGAGUGAGUGAGGUGGGGGGAGAAGGUGGGCUGAGGCUGGCGGAGAACGUGAGGAUGGACUUUCAGGACUGGAGUCUGAAGACGACCUCAUUGGUGAAAAGGGG
rnacentral:lncRNA from 1 species